rnacentral:rRNA from 1 species
CCUACGGGGGGCAGCAGUCGAGAAUCAUUCACAAUGGGGGAAACCCUGAUGGUGCGACGCCGCGUGGGGGAAUGAAGGUCUUCGGAUUGUAAACCCCUGUCAUGUGGGAGCAAAUUAAAAAGAUAGUACCACAAGAGGAAGAGACGGCUAACUCUGUUCCAGCAGCCGCGGUAAUACAGAGGUCUCAAGCGUUGUUCGGAAUCACUGGGCGUAAAGGGUGCGUAGGCGGUUUCGUAAGUCGUGGGUGAAAGGCGCGGGCUCAACCCGCGGACGGCACAUGAUACUGCGAGACUAGAGUAAUGGAGGGGGAACCGGAAUGCUCGGUGUAGCAGUGAAAUGCGUAGAUAUCGGGCGGAACACUCGUGGCGAAGGCGGGUUCCUGGACAUUAACUGACGCUGAGGCACGAAAGCCUGGGGAGCGAAAGGGAUUAGAUACCCCAGUAGUC